GACGAACGCUGGCGGCGUGCCUAAUACAUGCAAGUAGGACGCAGUUGCGAACGGGUGAGUAACGCGUAGGUAACUGCCUAUUAGAGGGGGAUAACUAUUGGAAAAGAUAGCUACUACCGCAUACUGGUCGAUGGACCUGCGUUGUAAUAGCUAGUAGAUAGGGAAAUGGACUACCUAGGCGACGAUACCUAGCCGAACUUAGGGGGUGAUCGGCGACAGCGGGACUGGUACACGGGCGACACUCCGACUGGAGGUAGCAGUGGGGGAACGUCGGCAAGGGGGGGAAGCCCGGCCGAGCAACGGCGGGGGAGUGUAGAAGGUUUUCGGAUUGUAAAGCGCUGUUGUUAAGUAAGGGGUAGAUAAAGAGAAAGGGACGGCUAACUACGUGCCAGCAGCCGCGGUAAUAC
rnacentral:rRNA from 1 species